UUUAACAAGCCGACCACCAACACCCAAAAAAGCAAAAACAUAGUGAAGACCUGAAGAAAAAACCUCAGUGCCCUCUGCUUCUCUCACAAUUUCUCCGGCCCCCUGUUAACACAAACAUGAAGUGUUUUGAGACCGGCCAAUCCUUAACCAACGAAACCUUAAGUGUGAAGAAAAAAGGAAAGAAGCCCAGGGCUCCCAGGAAGGAAAGUGAACUGAGAGAUUUGAAGCACAAGAAGCAUACAUGUUCUAAAAGGAGGUUUGAGAAAACGAUGAAGAAGCAGAAAAGUUUGGAAUCAACGAUAGAAGAUCUUAAGAAAGAAAUGAACCACGAGGAGUUGCAGGAAUACCAAGAAAAGCUGGGGCGAUUCGAGCAGAACCUUGCCGAGAUUAGAAUGCAAUUCUCUCUGGCAAAAGAAAUAAAUGAUGACGACCAGAUUUUCUUGAAUUCUAUAAUUGCUCUUUUGUUCCCUUGAAAUGAAGGAGAUGAAGGGAGGAGCAGUGAGGAACUAACUCCAGGGUCUGAUUUUUGUGGGGAUUUUGGAUCAAAGCAAAUUGAUGGUUGAU
rnacentral:sRNA from 10 species